rnacentral:rRNA from 1 species
UACGUAGGGUGCAAGCGUUGUCCGGAAUUAUUGGGCGUAAAGGGCGCGUAGGCGGCUUGGCAAGUGGAAGGUGAAAUCCCUCGGCUUAACCGAGGAACUGCCCUCCAAACUGCUUUGCUUGAGGCCGGGAGAGGUGAGUGGAAUUCCUGGUGUAGCGGUGAAAUGCGUAGAUAUCUGGAGGAACACCGGUGGCGAAGGCGGCAUCCUGGACCGGCAUUGACGCUGAGGAGCGAAAGCCGGGUGGGAGCAAACAGG